CACGCAUGACACACUGCAUAUCAAUAAGCGGAGGAAAAGAAACUAACAAGGAUUCCCUUAGUAACGGCGAGUGAAGCGGGAAGAGCUCAAAUCUGAAAUCUUCAAGGUUCUACCUUGACGAAUUGUAGUUUAUAGAAGUGUUUUCUGUUAGUGGAGUGGCAAAAGUUCUUUGGAAUAGGACAUCAUAGAGGGUGAGAAUCCCGUAUUUGGUCAUUCCUCCUAGCGUUGUGAUACACCUUUCAACGAGUCGGAUUGUUUGGGAAUGCAGUCCAAAAUGGGUGGUAAAUUUCAUCUAAAGCUAAAUAUUGGCGAGAGACCGAUAGCGAACAAGUACCGUGAGGGAAAGAUGAAAAGAACUUUGAAAAGAGAGUUAAACAGUACGUGAAAUUGUCAAAAGGGAAGCGUUUGACACCAGUGUUGUUUUUCCGAAAAUCAAUUACGAAUGUUUUGUUUUUAAGAAGUUAUGACUUCAUCGGCUUGCUUCUUUCUUUACGAAACUUUCUUAAUGCACUUUUCGGUUAACAAGUCAACAUCAAUUUCUUUUGUUGUAAAAGGGUAUGAGGAAGGUGGCUUUCUUUUCGGAGAAAGUGUUUAUAGCCUUGUGCCUCUGCAAUCGGAGAGAUUGAGGUCUGCAGCGUAGAUCCUUCGGGGUUAGAUACGUUUGUGCUAAGUUAUAGCUUUUCAUAGACAACUUGUUGACUAUGUUUAGUCUUGUAGCUUACUCGCUGACGCUAUUUUACCUACGCUUAGGAUGUUGAUCUGUAGUGCGUGCGC
rnacentral:rRNA from 1 species